AUCGCUUCUCGGCCUUUUGGCUAAGAUCAAAGUGUAGUAUCUGUUCUUAUCAGCUUAAUAUCUGAUACGUCCUCCAUUGGGGGACAUCGAUAUUAAACUGAUUUUUGAAAGGGGGUGAGGUGCCCGGGGCUUGCUCCGCCCUCACCACGGGUUGACCCGGUAUUGCAGUACUUCCGGGAAUGGCCCACCACUA
rnacentral:snRNA from 1 species